rnacentral:rRNA from 1 species
GAGGGUUGAUAGGUUAAGAGCUGGUUAACUGGACGUUACCCACAGAAGAAGCACCGGCUAACUCCGUGCCAGCAGCCGCGGUAAUACGGAGGGUGCGAGCGUUAAUCGGAAUUACUGGGCGUAAAGGGUGCGUAGGUGGUUAGGUAAGUUAUCUGUGAAAUCCCUGGGCUUAACCUAGGUAGGAAAGAUAAAACUGCUUGACUAGAGUGUGGUAGAGGAUAGUGGAAUUUCCGGUGUAGCGGUGAAAUGCGUAGAGAUCGGAAGGAACACCAGUGGCGAAGGCGGCUAUCUGGACCAACACUGACGCUGAGGCACGAAAGCGUGGGGAGCAAACAGGAUUAGAUACCCUGGUAGUCCACGCUGUAAACGAUGUCAACUAGCUGUCGGUCAUA